CCUACGGGUGGCAGCAGUGGGGAAUAUUGCGCAAUGGGCGAAAGCCUGACGCAGCAACGCCGCGUGCGGGAUGACGGCCUUCGGGUUGUAAACCGCUUUCAGUGGGGACGAAACCAGACGGUACCCACAGAAGAAGCCCCGGCCAACUACGUGCCAGCAGCCGCGGUAACACGUAGGGGGCGAGCGUUGUCCGGAUUUAUUGGGCGUAAAGAGCUCGUAGGCGGCUCGGUAAGUGAGGUGUGAAAACUCCAGGCUCAACCUGGAGACGCCACCUC
rnacentral:rRNA from 1 species